UAUUGUGCCACUGAAUUUUCUAUGCACAGAGGAAAAGGUUGGGUGCUUGGUUGCUGCUCAGUUGCUGCAAUAAGGACAUGACAAGCACUCAUGAAGGAGUAGCUGCAAGUUGCCUUCUAAGGGUCCACAGGACCAUAUUGUCUUUAGCAGUUCCCUGUCAUCUGAAGGAAAAUCAGCUUCUUGGAACAGUAUUCCAAAAGUUCAUGUGUUUUGAAACUGUCUGGUAUUUUUCAGAGGUCUUCUGUAAAGUAAUAAAGUCAUGGAAGUCCAUUGAGAGAGCCCUUUUCAAUCCAGUGGCACAAAAUGUGUUCCAUGCCUUCAAAGACAAAAGUUCAGAUCUUCAUGUUGAGUGGAAAUAAAACAUCUGCAAAUUCAAGAAACAAGGUUUGAUAUCUGCUCAAGUUUACAUCACAUAAAAACAUUAAUAUGAGGUCAUAGCAAAUACUACAGUUGCCUGAAGAUGGGAGGAUAGCCAAUGUCAUUCCAGUCUUCAAAAAAGGCAAGGAGGAUCAAGUAUACUACAGGCCAGUAUGUCUCACAUCUGUUCCUGGAAAGGUGAUGGAACAACUUGUUCUGGAUGCCAUCUCCAAGUUACUGUAAGAGAAAAAGGUUAUCAGGAGUAGUCAGUGUAGAUUCAUCAAGGGGAAAUCAUGCUCGACCAAUCUGGUAUCCUUCUAUGAUGUCAUCACGGGCUGGGCGGAUGGGGAGAGAGCAGUGGAUGUUGGGCACCUUGACUUCAGGAAGGCAUUUGACACAGCCUCCCACAACAUCCUUGUUAUGAAACUUAGAAAAUGUGGGAUAGAUGAGUGGACAGUGAGGUGGAUUGAGAACUGACUGACUAGCAGGGCUCAGAGUGCUGUCAUCUGCAAUACACAGUCAAUUACUCAGGUGAAGAGAUCGAGCUCAGACUCGGCAUCUUUGCUGAUGAUACAAAGCUGGGAUGAGUAGCUGACAUAUCAGAAGGCUGUGCUACCACUGAACAAGACAUGGAAAGGCUGGAGAGUUGGACAGGGAUGACUUUGAUGAGGUUUAACAAGAGCAAGUGUAGAGUCUUGCACCUGGGGAGGAAUAACUGCAUGUGUCAGCACCAGUUAGGGGAUGACCUGCUGGAGAGGAGCUCUAUGGAGAAGAACCUGGGGGUGCUGGUGGACAACAGGUUGGCCAUGAGUCAGCAGUGUGCCCUUGUGGCCACAAAGGCCAAUGGUAUCCUGGGAUGCCUUAAAAAGAGCCUGGUCGACAGGUCAAGGGAUGUUAUCCUCCCACUCUAUUCUGACCUGGUGAGGCAACAUUUAGACUACUGUGUCCAGUUCUGGGUUCCCCAGCUCAAAAAAAAAAAAAACUGGAAUCUCCUAGAAGGAAUCCAGCAGAGGAGCAUAAAGAUGAUUAAGGGCCUGUAGCAACUCCCAUAUGAGGAAAGGCUGAAC
ensembl:lncRNA